rnacentral:tRNA from 1 species
AGAUAGAACCGCAAGAGCUGCUAACUCAUGCCUCCGUGAGUACAACCACGGCUUUCUC